GAUGAACGCUGGCGGCGUGCCUAAUACAUGCAAGUCGAGCGAACAGAUAAGGAGCUUGCUCCUUUGACGUUAGCGGCGGACGGGUGAGUAACACGUGGGUAACCUACCUAUAAGACUGGGAUAACUUCGGGAAACCGGAGCUAAUACCGGAUAACAUUUGGAACCGCAUGGUUCUAAAGUGAAAGAUGGUUUUGCUAUCACUUAUAGAUGGACCCGCGCCGUAUUAGCUAGUUGGUAAGGUAACGGCUUACCAAGGCAACGAUACGUAGCCGACCUGAGAGGUUGAUCGGCCACACUGGAACUGAGACACGUUCCAGACUCCUACGGGAGGCAGCAGUAGGGAAUCUUCCGCAAUGGGCGAAAGCCUGACGGAGCAACGCCGCGUGAGUGAUGAAGGGUUUCGGCUCGUAAAACUCUGUUAUUAGGGAAGAACAAAUGUGUAAGUAACUGUGCACGUCUUGACGGUACCUAAUCAGAAAGCCACGGCUAACUACGUG
rnacentral:rRNA from 1 species